UGGGGAAUAUUGGACAAUGGGCGCAAGCCUGAUCCAGCCAUGCCGCGUGAGUGAUGAAGGCCCUAGGGUUGUAAAGCUCUUUCACCGGUGAAGAUAAUGACGGUAACCGGAGAAGAAGCCCCGGCUAACUUCGUGCCAGCAGCCGCGGUAAUACGAAGGGGGCUAGCGUUGUUCGGAUUUACUGGGCGUAAAGCGCACGUAGGCGGACUAUUAAGUCAGGGGUGAAAUCCCGUGGCUCAACCCCGGAACUGCCUUUGAUACUGGUAGUCUUGAGUUCGAGAGAGGUGAGUGGAAUUCCGAGUGUAGAGGUGAAAUUCGUAGAUAUUCGGAGGAACACCAGUGGCGAAGGCGGCUCACUGGCUCGAUACUGACGCUGAGGUGCGAAAGCGUGGGGAGCAAACAGG
rnacentral:rRNA from 1 species